UCUCCUUUCCCUCACACCUCCACAACCGGAUAGCCUCUCUCUCUCCCCUUCUCAUUUCUUGGUGCGACACCUCCAUGAAUAGCUAAUGUUGAAGACGGCAGCUCCUUCCUUUGAAAAUUGAAGCCCACACGUUCCUCUUUCUUUACCGAUUCUGCCAGCCACACGCCAACCCCCACUCCCCGUUGGUCCCCUUCGGUCAGAGCCUUCCUCGAUGGCCUCGUUUGUUGACUGAGCAGCACCCCUGAAUCUCGAAGACUGAAGCUGCCCAUUUUCAGCGUCGCACGCCAGCAUCUCCAGCGAAGACCACUCAUCUUCGGUCUUCCUUCGUGCCUUCAAAUCAGUUCACCGAAGGCAGCAUCAACCGGUCAACUGACCGAAUACCACACGACCAGCUGCCCCGAUGAUUUCCACGAAGCCAGUGAUUGAUCACCCUUCGCAACUUCUCUCUCUAUCUCUUGCGGAUCGUCCCCAACAGCGUCCCAGUUCGGCCACGAAUCCGCACGCCCCUGCUCCACCGCUUCUUGCCGUUUGUUGACUGAAGACCUUCAACCCUCCACGCGUCCGAGUCUGUUCUUGGCUCGGUCAACAGCGGCAGCAACCGAAGCUGCUUGGUUGACCGCAAAAGCCCCACCCGUGCAUAGAUCCGUCGCCAGCAGCUGCUUCUCACGUUCCCUCUCUAGCGCCAUCACCGACGCUGCUUCAGUCUUCUUGUUCGGGGCCCAGCUCGUGCAAGCAGCUCCUUUGGGCCACUGAAACCAGCAGUCCAACGAAGCUUCUGCACAAGCCCCGCAAGUCAGCCCAGUCGAAUCUCACCAGUAGCAGCCCAUCAGCAGAAUUUUAUUGAGGCCCAUCUCCUGCAGUCUUCAAGCCCAGUCCAAUCCAAGUGAAUUAAUUGGUCAAGCCCAUUUCAGCAGGCCCAACCCAACUUGGGUCUGGCCCAAAAGCAAGAACAAAUCUCAGUUGGGCUGAGAUUUGUUGGGGCCAAGUCCAAGGCCCGGUCCAAGCCCACCGGUGUUGUCGAAAAUCUGAUUUCGGCUGCCGUCGUGUCGCCGUUGCGGUGAUUCGAUCUCCGCUUUUGUCAAGUGAGUUUUAGUCACUAAAGCUUUCUUAGUUUGCUAAUUAUACUUAAGGUUGGUUAGAUUUAAUUAAAUGCAAUUAGGUGGUUAGAUUAGUUUAGAUCAAUUAAAUUAGAGACUUAAUGAUGCAUGUUAGGUGGUUAGAAAUAGACAUUAGCAAGUAAACAUGCCAUGUUAUUUAUGGAGCGAGUCUCGGUAAUUUUUCGGGCUUGUCUCGGUAUCCAAUUCGGCAUUAUGAGCCUAAAUUGGAUUUUUAUAAUUAUUUAUUUAAUUUUCGAAAUUAAUUAUUUAAUUAUUUAUUUUUCCAGAAAUUCAACCGGGAUGGCCGGUGACCGGAAUUUCGUGCUGAUUGUCGUGGUGCAGUCCGUUUAUUUAUUUGAGCUUUAUUUGGUGCUAAAGUAAUUUAUGAGUGAAUUUAAGAUUUAUUCCUAAAUUGAAUCUGGAGAGGGUCGGGUGGGACCGUAAAGCCAUUAGUUCUUGAGAGGGUCGGGUGGGACCGUAAAGCCACUAGUUCUUGAAAGGGUCCGACUGACACGAAAUCGACUAGGUCGAUUCGAUCGAUGCUUCGAUCGGUGAUGUGAUUGUUUGAAUGCCUAUUGAACUGUACUAAUAUGCAGAUAGAAUCUGAGCCCAAGGUAAGUCAUCCAACUCGUGCCCUGUUUAGGCAGCCUAUAGUGUAUUGGCUUUCUAAUCGAGUCUUAGGGGGUAGGACUCGCUGAGACGUGGUCUCAUUGGUUAUUGAAUAACCAUUUCAGGACCCUGAGGAGAAGCUAAGGAAGAGGAACCUGAAGGGGAGAAAGACUUUUGAAGAAGAAGAUGAUCCAGAGAAGGAUCUUGAAUAUAACCCGGAUGUGGACUGAGAUCCCAUCCCUUUUGUAAACCC
rnacentral:lncRNA from 1 species